rnacentral:tRNA from 1 species
GCGUCCGUGGCUCAAUUGGAUAGAGCAUCGGUCUACGGAACCGAAGGUUACAGGUUCGAGUCCUGUCGGACGCG